UGCGGAAUUGCCAGAGUGGUCAAAUGGGCGAGAUUAAGGCUCUCGUGGCUUAGUGCCUACAAAGGUUCGAAUCCUUUAUUCCGCAU
rnacentral:tRNA from 1 species